CGGGGUGAGGUGUAAUAUUUGCACGCUAGACUUGGGUCCUAGAGGUCCUCUUAGGGGCUCCCCGC